rnacentral:lncRNA from 1 species
GCUGAAAGGAAAGGGAAUGACAUUGUUUCUGUCCUGCUCUACCCAACAUCAGAGGUGUAAGGAAUGGAUCUGGUAUAUCCUUGUUCACUGCAUAUACUAAGAACAAUCAGGUCACGGGACUGUCCAUUUCCCAAUCUCCCUCAGAAGUGGUGACGUGUAUGCCUGCCUUAAUUGCAGUUAGAAGUGGAGGGCGUUUCUUGAUGCACUGAAAGGAUUGCGCAACAGCUCAUCUGAACGAGCCGCCAUGAUGUGAGGAAGCCCAGGCUAUAUGGAGAUGUUUCAGUCGACAACUCCAGCUGAGGUCCCACCUGACAACCAGCAUCAACUGCCAAAUAUGCGAGUGAGCAAGGUGUCAAGAUGAGUCCAACCGCAGUCACUAUCUGACUGCAACGCCAUGAAAGACUCUAAGCAAGAAAUAGCUAGCGGAGCCCAGUCAACCUCCAGAAGAGCAAAAGAGAAUAAGGUGCUUCUUUCUUCGUCUUAAAAAAGGAGAACUCCAGUCUAAGCAUGAGACAAACAUCAGUCAAACCCAUAAUGGGAGACACUCUACAGGACUCCUGACUAGUACUUGUCAAGACUGUCAAGGUCAUAAGAAACAAGGAAAGGCUGAGAAAUGGUCACAGACCAGAAGAGACUGGAGAGACAUGACAACCAAAUGCAAGGUGGUACCUGGACCAAAUCCUGGAACAGAAAAAGGGCAUGACAAGGGACAGCAGUGGGAAAAGUGGUGAAAUUCGAAUCGAGCCUGGAGUUGAGGUAAUAGCACUGUACCAGUGUCAGUUUCCUAGCCUUGACAAAGGUGCCCUGCUAAUGUAAGAUGCUGACAACGGGUGACAAUGGGUGAGGGAUUUGUGGGAACUCUCUGUAUUACCCUUGCUACAGUCCCAUAAACCUGAA